rnacentral:lncRNA from 1 species
UUGGAUCUAACAGCGAUGGUAUUGGGCGAGCCAGACUCGCCAUAGAGCGGAGCGCAUGGCGGCAGACGACGACGGGAAGCAGAGCAAGUGGGACUUCCCAAGCUGCAGCACCUUGCACUUUCACGGUCACCGGCCUCCACGCCAUCUCGGAUGAACAGUCAAGCAGCAUAGGAGAGAUGGCAGUUAGGGGUGGGCUCUAGCUAUUGGGGGAGAUAUAAUUUUUCCUUUAUUUGGGGCAGAUAAAAGAAAUAUUAGUGACCACAUAAAAAAGAGAAAGUAAUUGGGGAGCUAUUGAAGCAAUGAAAUGAAACUAUCUCAUUUUGCCCCCAUAUAACAGCUUAAUAUAUAGGGACGAGGGAUGAUAUUGGGUAACUGUUGAAGACGUUCUCUCUACUACAGCUUGCUUCUGGUUAUGCAUUAAAUAUAGAUGGAAACAAAAAUUAAUAUACAAUUUUGCUUGUAAAUUACGAGACGAAUCUUUUAAAUCUAAUUACUUUAAGAUUAGACAAUAUUUGUCAAAACAAAAACGAAAGUGCUAUCGUGUCAAAAUCUAAAAACUUUUUUGAUCUAAACAAUAAGGCUUUGUUUAGUUCACCCCGAAAACCAAAAACUUUUCAAGAUUUCCCGUCACAUCAAAUCUUAGAACACAUGCAUAAAGCAUUAGAUAUAGACGAAAAUAAAAACUAAUUGCACAGUUUGCCUGUAAAUCACGAGAUGAAUCUUUUGAGCCUAGUUAGUCCAUGAUUGGAUAAUAUUUAUCAAAUAAAAACGAAAAUGCUACAGUACCGAAAUCCGAAUUUUUUUCGGAACUAAACAAGACCUAAGGUAUUAUUGGUUUAGCAAGCAUGUUCGCUUGAAUUUAUCAGUCGAAUCUAUCAAUCAUUUAGCAGUAUUUUUCUUUUAUAAUAAUUUAGUAAACAGUACUUUCUGCUAUGGCCUAUCAAGCAAACGAACCGGCCGAGGUGGACAGUCCUGUCAUGAGGUGAUAUGACAGGGCCGGUAUGUUGUGCACGAUUGAUUGAUUAAGUACAUACUAAGCACAUCUCGUCUGUUUGUUUUAUGGCUUGUAGCAACGACAACAUCCGUUUUCUCUCGUGCUAAGAGGAGGAAAUGGAAUUAAUGGAUUUUCAUUUCAUUUCAUUUCCUCGCGGACAGGCUGAACGGGCCCGGCCUGCUGCAUGCGUCCGGAUAGACUCCGGCAAGUGCGGCUAGCGAACCAAUCACUAGGCCCAGCGCCUGUAAGCACGGUGAUAAAAGCCUAUUAUAAGCCCAGUGCUAAUUAUAAGCGCCUAUUAUAAGCCCAAUGCUAAAAGCCUAUUAGAAGCCCAGCAACUAGAAGCCCGCAGCAGGGAAGAGAAUGCUUAAGCCCCCUUCAUCUUCAAUCAAUUAUACUCCCUUGAUUUUUCACAUUAUAAGAUGGUUUCACUUUUCAGAUUUAUUAUUGUAUACAUUGUAAAAGCUAUGUAUCUAUAAAAGAAACAUUUUAUAAUUUGAAAUGGAGGUAGUAUUUUUGUAAUCCUUUUUGCUUGUGAAGGACCAAUUUUAUGAGUGGUAGUGGAUCAAUGUUUUUUAAGAACUUGGCCUUUUUUAAAAAAUAAUGAAAAAAAAAACUUUUUGCCUUCAUCUACGUAGGUGGGAAAGCAGACCAAAAUUACUGCAGGACACGAAUACUUAAAAUGAUAACGGUCUUAUUCUGUAAUCCUAAAGAGGCCACCCAUAGGAGGCUAAGAAGGUCAUUGACCCCUUACUCGUGUUGGAAAUCAUGGGCUUGGCUCAAUAGGAAUUCUCAAUAGUUCUAAAUAAUUAUUAAGACCUAUUCAUUCAUGCAUGCAUACGGGGAAGUGGGUGAACUUUAGUCCUACCUUGCUAGUUGAAGUUAAGGUUGCCACACACGCUCUCUCGCUCACCUCCCCUUGCUUGGACGCGCAACAUAUGCGUAAACAGUUUGCCAAAAUCUGUUUUGUGGCCUUGCCAGAACGGGGCCUAUAUUAGUUAUCUGUUACUUGGCUUUCAAGUUUAUGAAUUGAAAUCCUAAUCGGUUUAGGUCAUGCGAGACUCCCUAUCAAACAACCAACGCUAGGAACAUAUCUAUUCGAGUUAGGGGUUUACCUCUUUUCUGUUGCUACGCCAUCAUAGUCGAUCUAUCCAUCUCGAGCCCCUACAUGCACCGGUGAUCGGGAGAGCAGAUCUCUAAAACCACUCAUGUAUACAUAGAAAAUCGAACAUGGGCUCGCUCAUUCCUAAAUAAUAACUAGCAAAUAUGCCCGUGCGUUGCAACGGGAUUUAUAUUCUGCAUUAUAGGUUCUAAUAAUACAUUUGAAAUUAGACUCUCUAUCGUGUUUAGACGUGCGCUGCUCUAAGUUGUAUGAGUAUGCGAUGUCGUUCCAAAUGGACACCAGCUAGCACUCUAGUGUAUAAGCCAUCACUCCAAUUUUAUUUUAGGAUCCAACUCCACAUUAUUUUUUAACAUCCUUCUCUAACUUAUAUAGCAGAUAGAAAAGUGACAAGCCACAUAAACACUUCGUACUUCUGUGUUGCUAUGUUUACCUUUUUAUUCAUAAUUUUUGUGUGUAGACAAUGGGGCUUAAUAAAGUAAUAAUAUGUAUAUAAAAAACAUAAAUAUUCAUAGAAUAUGUUUGAGAUUUUUGAAUUUGGGGGCAUAAUUUAUCUGGACCUUUAUUCUAUUUUUCUAAUAUAAAACAAAAUAAAUUUUAAUCUUGUACCAAAAAAAUAACAUUUAAUCAUAUCAGAUAUAUAGAUGAGACGAUAUGGUGUCAAGCACAUAGAAAGUAUUAGCAGAUGUGAGUUACCUUUUUUUCAUUGCAUUUCACUGAACUUGGCGUCCGUGGAGGUGUAGACAUCUGCUCAGACUUCUGCAUCUCCUAGCACUGCUUUCCCUCCUAGACAGACCCAUAGGUAUAGAGGUAUAUAGAUAUAAUAUUAUUUUAAAUAUUUAUUUUUCUUUAAUAUAACUUUAUGGUGUAAAUCUUAUUAUUUUUUCUUUUGAUUACAACAUAAAAUAUUUGGUUGGCCUUGGCCGGCUAUGGGCCUUUGCCCUAGCCCACGUACGUACGGGUGUCAUGUUUCUUCAAUCUGAUGACGUCCAGGACAUAUGAACGUUGGGUACGGCCACUGGUCGCUCUCAACGCUUCUCAGUGUUCACUGGCCGUCGGUCGUUGCGCUCGCUAGCUCGUUUGCACCCCUCACCCAUAUGUCAUGGCUCCCUCGUGCUCCGCGAUCCCUGCUCAUCCUCUCCUCUCCUUUCCUCUCCUCCAUUUGUGGGCUCGAACCCUGCUCCUCCCUUCAAUCGAUGGGCGGACCAGGCCAAGUGAUGGCAUGGGUGCCCUGGCCGUCGAGGGCAGCGGCAUAGUCUGGCGGGCGACGCGGAGGCGGCGGCGUGGGCUCCCUGGGCGGCUUGGAGGCGUUAUCUGAUUUUUGUCGUUUUUUUCUCUGAUUUCCUCUUUGAUCUAUUCAUGUAUGGAUGGAGAAGGAAUCGAUUUUCGAUGAUUUUUGGUAUUGCUCUGUAGGUCGGUAGAUAGAAGAAACAACAAACUUAUUGAUGACUGAUACUCUUUAAGAGUUAGUCUGAGUCGAGUUUGGAUUUGAUCGAUGUCGUGAUUUUGAUUCGACAUCGAUCUGGCUCUUGCACCCUUGUCCAUUUAGAAAAUCCUCGCUAUAGAUUUGGGGACUGGAUGAAAUCUAGUUGAUUUCGAUUUGGAGAUAGUUACGACACUUUAGGUGGUGUUCUUGAUAUUUUUGGAUGUCAUAUACUUCGAUCUAUUCCUCUGGUUUUUUUUUUUAAGCUUCAUUAUAGAUUUGGGGCACCAUAGGAAAUAUGGUUGAUUUCGGAAUAGAGGAGGAUCGGAGGAAAUAUGAUUGAUUUUGGAGUGGAGGUUGUUACAGAGUGGGUUGCUUCCAUAUUUGGAAAAGCUUCACUAUGGAUGGAUUUGGUGACCGGAGAAAAUCUGGUCAUGUUCGGAGUGGAGAAAGGCCACCAAGGAGGACGGCGCGGACAGGUGGACGCGGACAGGCAGGUAGAA